UAGUGAGGGAGGGGGUGACUAGUGACAUAGUGAGAGAGGGGGUGACUAGUGACAGAGUGAGGGAGGGGGUGACACAGUGACAGAGUUAGGGAGGGAGUGACUAGUGACAGUCACCCCCUCUCUCACUCUGUCACUAGUCACACCCUCUCUCACUCUGUCAUUAGUCACCCACUCUCUCACUCUGUCACCAGUCAUCCCUUCCUUCCCUCACUCUGCCACUAGUCAUCCCUUCCCUCACUCUGUCACCAGUCACCCCUUCCUUCCUUCAC